ACAAGAAGCUGACAUGAGCCCUUGUUUCCAGUAUGUGAGUCAUCAUUGCCACCAAUGGUCUGGGUCAUUGGCUGUGCACACACAUCCACAGACAGUACAACAACAGCCUCUAGUCCCUUGUUGCUGACCUUUGGGAAGCUGGGCAUGUAAGGCCAUACAUGAUCUACAGUGUACUUGUAGAGGUCAGAGGACAACUUGCAGGAGUCAUUUCUCUGCUUCCACAAUGUGGGUCCUGGGGAUCCAACUGAAGUCAUCAGAAGCAGUACUCGGGCUUCUAUUACACUUUAAUACGAUCUACAUAU